CAGGUGAGAUCUCUGACCUGUCAACGGCAAGGUCGUCUUCCUCGUCAUGGACCUUCUCUCCCUCCCAUGGCGUCGCCCACCUCCGAGGUCUGUACACUCCAUAAACCAACCUCUCCUCCUCCCAUAACGCAGCGUUGCCGGAUCUACGCCCUCCAGAGUCUGAACCCCUCCGAAUCCUCUCCGUUGCGUGUCUCUGGGGUAAAGUAGGCUAUGGAGGAGCAACUUGCUUUCUAUUUACUUCGGAUGCUAAGAUUGUUCAUCUCAAAUUGCUAAUACAUUUCGCAUAAAGAAAUUGCUAAUACAUGCCUCCAGAUGCCUUUUUUUUCUCAAGUCAUCCUACUGAGUUGGCGACUAGUAGGUGUUAAUUGCUGCUAGUUUUCCUACUGAACAUACCUAACAAUACUGUUAUGGGUGAAUUUUUGUAGGCUCAGAUUUUCUUACUGAAGAAAUAACAGAAGCAAUCGAUGGAAUAACUCAACAACAUCUCAGGUGUGCUCCGAACCUCACUGCCAAAGCAAAAUUCUAUUGUUUUCACUAGUAAGCAAGUGUUACCUAUAAAUCACACAUGCCAACUCGUUGAUUCAGAACAUCACUAGUAUGUAAUGUAAACUCUGUAUAUCAGUAUAUGAUGUGUGCAUCCUACUGGCUUGUGUAACUCUAAAGUAAAUAAAUAUAACACCAUUAUCACCCAUACUUACAGUGAUUCAAAUAUUAUCUUGCGACAACACUGACAUGGCCCUGAUUACAAUAAUGCACUGCAAGUGACCUUGAUACAGAAAAAAGUUUAUUUCAAUACAUGAUACAGAGGGCUCUCUGUCUUACUGUAGCCUGUUUUCUAAUGGGUAUUCCCCAUGAUACUACAACAGCAAUGGCCAACCCAAGGCCGAAUCCCAAUCCAGAAAAGAGGAACAACACAAUAUCUACGGAUUUCUUCUUGGAAGGGAUCACAUUCAGAAUUGUCAUGUUGAUGCAACCUUUAGAUAGCGGAGGACCACACAAAUCAUUAUUCCCCAGAAAUGAGCUGUUGGUGAAUGUCAAGAAAUGAAGUGAUUCAGGUAUUUUUCCCUUAAGCUUGUUGUAGGAUAGGUUUAGCAUUUCGAGGAAGUCUAAGGAUGCUAAUUCUUGUGGAAUGACUCCUGAAAGCUGAUUUGAAGAUAGAUCCAAAGCUUCCAGCUGCUUCAGCCCACCAAGUUGAGAUGGAAUUGGCCCAGUGAGGAAGUUAUGUGACAUAUUUAUCCCAUGAGUUAAAACAAGUUCCCCAACAAUUUCUGGGAUGCUACCAUUGAAUGCAUUAUUGGAGAAAUCAAUGAAUACAAGGGUUCUUAGUAUUUGAGCAAGUGUGGUGUCAUGACCUUUGUAUGUGAGUGAGGCUUUAUAUCUAUAUACUAGUCCUACACUUGGCACAGCAUGAUCCAUGACCAAUGAUGUAUUUGUGUCUAUAUGUAGCAUCGACUCCAACUUCUUAAACCACUUGUCUUUGGGCAACGGACCAGAGAAGUUAUUUGAGGAUAUGUCA
rnacentral:lncRNA from 1 species